CUAUAAGUCAACACCACCUCGUGGCCUACAGUAACAAAGUCAGCACGUAGAGCUAACAGUUACAGCACAGACAUCUGAUUAUCCAUUGGCAGGAAGCCUCUCAAGCUCCACAAGAAGUGCAGUCUGUUGAUCUAAGCAAGAGAUGGCGAAAACAACUGAGUGAAGCAGCAGCUAAGAGCUCAAAGCCAAUAACUUCAUUUCUCAAACCACUGGAAAACACACAAACAAUGCUACAGAUAAUGAAAACUCCGCAACUGCAACACAUGAUAUUUCAAUGCCAAUACCUGAAUAUGAGGACAGUAGUCAACAGCAACAGGAAGAUGUAGAUCUUAUGCAGCAUGAGCAAUUCGAACAUUCCAUGAUCUUUUUAACAGUUCAUCAAAUCCAGCAGCUUAUAUAUCAUUUGAGGGAGAAACAAACAACAGCAACUGAUGAACGCUUAGGUAACAAAAAUCCUGUUUCCAUCUGAGUAUUCCUUUACAAAUAUUCAAGUUUUCCAAAAUAUCUUACACUGUGUUUUAGCUGAGCAAUCUGAAGAGGCAAUGCAAAAAACAAAACCCACAAAUGACAAAUGAGCACCAAACUAAUGAACAAAUGAAAAGUGAAAUUUAUAAUCCACUCAGGCCAGCCAGUUCCUUUGGGCCAUCAGAGCUAUCUGAACCUUCUGGAUCACAAUCCACUCCGAUCACAUGGUACCCAUGAUCUCCCAGACCACCCAGAUCUGAUGAGAAAUGACAACGGCACACACAGAAGGAUGAUGACAACGGAACACAGAAGGCAGAAGACAGCAACCAGUGACAGAACAUACAGAAAUGAACAUGGAGAAGAUGACCAAAAAUGAAGAUGAAGAUUAACAAAAACA